GGGUGCGAGCUGGCUGUACCGGUUGAGCCUGUACCGGCCUGUCACGCCGGAGGUCGCGGGUUCGAGUCCCGUCGCUCCCG
rnacentral:tRNA from 1 species